rnacentral:rRNA from 1 species
UACGUAGGGUGCAGGCGUUAAUCGGAAUUACUGGGCGUAAAGCGCACGCAAGCGGUUUGUUAAGCUAGAUGUGAAAGCCCCGGGCUCAACCUGGGAGGGUCAUUUAGAACUGGCAGACUAAAAUCUUGGAGAAAAGAGUGGAAUUCCAGGUGUAGCGGUGGAAUGCGUAGAGAUCUAAAGGAACAUCAGUGGCGAAGGCGACUCCCUGGCCAAAGACUGACGCUCAUGUGCGAAAGUGUGGGUAGCGAACAGG